rnacentral:rRNA from 1 species
AGACGGAAAGACCCCGUGAACCUUUACUAUAGCUUGACACUGAACAUUGAGCCUUGAUGUGUAGGAUAGGUGGGAGGCUUUGAAGCGUGGACGCCAGUCUGCGUGGAGCCGACCUUGAAAUACCACCCUUUAAUGUUUGAUGUUCUAACGUGGACCCGUAAUCCGGGUUGCGGACAGUGUCUGGUGGGUAGUUUGACUGGGGCGGUCUCCUCCUAAAGAGUAACGGAGGAGCACGAAGGUUGGCUAAUCCUGGUCGGACAUCAGGAGGUUAGUGCAAUGGCAUAAGCCAGCUUGACUGCGAGCGUGACGGCGCGAGCAGGUGCGAAAGCAGGUCAUAGUGAUCCGGUGGUUCUGAAUGGAAGGGCCAUCGCUCAACGGAUAAAAGGUACUCCGGGGAUAACAGGCUGAUACCGCCCAAGAGUUCAUAUCGACGGCGGUGUUUGGCACCUCGAUGUCGGCUCAUCACAUCCUGGGGCUGAAGUAGGUCCCAAGGGUAUGGCUGUUCGCCAUUUAAAGUGGUACGCGAGCUGGGUUUAGAACGUCGUGAGACAGUUCGGUCCCUAUCUGCCGUGGGCGCUGGAGAACUGAGGGGGGCUGCUCCUAGUACGAGAGGACCGGAGUGGACGCAUCACUGGUGUUCGGGUUGUCAUGCCAAUGGCACUGCCCGGUAGCUAAAUGCGGAAGAGAUAAGUGCUGAAAGCAUCUAAGCACGAAACUUGCCCCGAGAUGAGUUCUCCCUGAGACUUAGAGUCUCCUGAAGGAACGUUGAAGACGACGACGUUGAUAGGCCGGGUGUGUAAGCGCAGCGAUGCGUUGAGCUAACCGGUACUAAUGAACCGUGAGG